UACAGAGGGUGCAAGCGUUGUUCGGAAUUACUGGGCGUAAAGCGCACGUAGGCGGACUUGUCAGUCAGGGGUGAAAUCCCGAGGCUUAACCUCGGAACUGCCUUUGAUACUGCAAGUCUUGAGGAUGAGAGAGGUAAGUGGAACUGCGAGUGUAGAGGUGAAAUUCGUAGAUAUUCGCAAGAACACCAGUGGCGAAGGCGGCUUACUGGCUCAUUUCUGACGCUGAGGUGCGAAAGCGUGGGGAGCAAACAGG
rnacentral:rRNA from 1 species